GCCUGGGUGGCUCAGUGGUUGAGCAUCUGCCUUUGGCCCAGAUCGUGAUCCUGGGGUUUUGGGAUCGAGUCCCACAUCGGGCU
rfam:Canis lupus familiaris chromosome 20, whole genome shotgun sequence.